rnacentral:rRNA from 1 species
CCCUUAGACGUUCUGGGCCGCACGCGCGCUACACUGACCAGUGCAACAAGCAUCCGUCCUUGGCCGACAGGCCCGGGCAAUCUUUGAACGCUGGUCGUGAUGGGGAUAGACUUUUGCAAUUUUUGGUCUUCAACGAGGAAUUCCUAGUAAACGCAAGUCAUCAACUUGCAAUGAUUACGUCCCUGCCCUUUGUACACACCGCCCGUCGUACCUACCGAUUGAAUGGUCCGGUGAAGCCUCCGGAUUGGCGCGCACCUCGGUGCCGCCGAGAAGUUGGCUAAACCUUACCAUUUAGAGGAAGGCGAAGUCGUAACA